rnacentral:rRNA from 1 species
ACCAACGAAUGGAUCAUUA